rnacentral:lncRNA from 1 species
UGUUUGCCAACAUGUCUAGCUCAGGAAGAUGUACCUGGAAACUGCUCCCAAGAUCACCCUGGGUGAUCUCCCAGAAAGAGACACUUGCUUCCACAACCCAACUUAUAAGUAAGACAACUCCCUGUUCACCAAAAAUUGUGCUUCCCGGGUUCCACUUUGAAUUCCUUGCCUAAAUCUCCAAACUGUCAAUAACUCUGAACUAUGUAACCUACUAUUUUGAUGGAGUAAAGGGAAAAGAACACCUGGACUUAUUAAAAGGCCAGGCCCCACUGAUUUAUCAACAUAGACUGGCUUCCCCCAUUUUAGUUCCCCUCCUAACUGGUUUGGGAAUAGCUGGAUCUACUGCUUUAGGAACUACAGGUCUUAUCACAAGCUCUAAAAAUUUUAAGUCCCUCAGCCAUCAAAUAAAUAUAGAUUUAGGAAAACUAGAAAGGUCAAUCUCCAAACUA